CCAAUUAAGUCAAAUGUGAAAUCCCCGAGCUUAACUUGGGAAUUGCAUUCGAUACUGGUUGGCUAGAGUAUGGGAGAGGAUGGUAGAAUUCCAGGUGUAGCGGUGAAAUGCGUAGAGAUCUGGAGGAAUACCGAUGGCGAAGGCAGCCAUCUGGCCUAAUACUGACACUGAGGUGCGAAAGCAUGGGGAGCAAACAGGAUUAGAUACCCUGGUAGUCCAUGCCGUAAACGAUGUCUACUAGCCGUUGGGGCCUUUGAGGCUUUAGUGGCGCAGCUAACGCGAUAAGUAGACCGCCUGGGGAGUACGGUCGCAAGACUAAAACUCAAAUGAAUUGACGGGGGCCCGCACAAGCGGUGGAGCAUGUGGUUUAAUUCGAUGCAACGCGAAGAACCUUACCUGGUCUUGACAUAGUAAGAACUUUCCAGAGAUGGAUUGGUGCCUUCGGGAACUUACAUACAGGUGCUGCAUGGCUGUCGUCAGCUCGUGUCGUGAGAUGUUGGGUUAAGUCCCGCAACGAGCGCAACCCUUUUCCUUAUUUGCCAGCGGGUUAAGCCGGGAACUUUAAGGAUACUGCCAGUGACAAACUGGAGGAAGGCGGGGACGACGUCAAGUCAUCAUGGCCCUUACGACCAGGGCUACACACGUGCUACAAUGGUCGGUACAAAGGGUUGCUACCACGCGAGUGGAUGCUAAUCUCAAAAAGCCGAUCGUAGUCCGGAUUGGAGUCUGCAACUCGACUCCAUGAAGUCGGAAUCGCUAG
rnacentral:rRNA from 1 species